UGGCUACCAUGGUUACGGUCGGGCCUUGGUGAUCGUUGUUGGUGGGUGGUUAGUGUUUGGUGGGCUACUGCGAUCAACGAUUGGUUUUUUUUUCGGGUGGUGGUUGUCAACCCAGAUAAACAAUCGAGCAAAAUCGAGAGACAGGCCCGCGAGCACGGCGUCGUCUACUACGGGUUCUCGACGGACCGGGAAGAGCGAAACCGGCAGCAGCUGGAGCUGGGCGCGAUCCGCGAGAAGGAGAACCUGCGAGUCCGGCUCGGACUGCCCCCGGAGAAGAAGGAGUAGCAGAAGGGUGAUCCGGAAGUGGAACGAGACGAGCUGUACGACGCGGAGGAGGAACGGGAACGCGCCAAGGUGGAAGCAAAGACGAAAAGGAAGCGCAAAAAGAACGAACGAAGGCGAGGCCGGAGGAAAUUAGCAUGCCGUCAAUCCCAGGAAUGGAAGAUUUUUUCCUCCUGAUGAGCCCCCAACCCGGGUGCUUUGAACGAGGAAAUUACGAAACCACCGCGGAGACGGCGGAAAAACGACCCAAUCUAGAGCAGCAUCGAGUGCCGAUACGGAUUACGGAAUGAGCUUAGCGAGGAUGAAGAGCAAGAGGAAAAGAAGUUCAGCGUGGAAAGGGCGUUGAAAUUGCCCCACCACUAACUUUCGAUUAUUACGGGCCGACGACGGGAAAAGGGUAAAAAGCGCCGCGUAAGCCGCCAGUUUCGAAAUCUACCCUCGAGGCGUCCAUUGAAGUUUUUGCGGAAUCAAUCGACCGAAAAACAGGUCGACCUCGAAUACGGAUUACUAGUGAGAGAUAGCUCUGAGUGUAAAUGAGUUGGAAUGAAAUAUACAGAAUUGUAAAUUU